rnacentral:rRNA from 1 species
UACGUAGGGCGCAAGCGUUAUCCGGAAUUAUUGGGCGCAAAGAGCUCGUAGGCGGUUUGUCGCGUCUGCCGUGAAAGUCCGGGGCUUAACUCCGGAUCUGCGGUGGGUACGGGCAGACUUGAGUGAUGUAGGGGAGACUGGAAUUCCUGGUGUAGCGGUGAAAUGCGCAGAUAUCAGGAGGAACACCGAUGGCGAAGGCAGGUCUCUGGGCAUUAACUGACGCUGAGGAGCGAAAGCAUGGGGAGCGAACAGG